rnacentral:rRNA from 1 species
UACAGAGGGUUCAAGCGUUGUUCGGAUUCAUUGGGCGUAAAGGGUGCGUAGGCGGCGCGGUAAGUCGGGUGUGAAAUCUCGGAGCUUAACUCCGAAACUGCAUUCGAUACUGCCGUGCUUGAGGACUGGAGAGGAGACUGGAAUUUACGGUGUAGCGGUGAAAUGCGUAGAUAUCGUAAGGAAGACCAGUGGCGAAGGCGGGUCUCUGGACAGUUCCUGACGCUGAUGCACGAAGGCCAGGGGAGCAAACGGG